rnacentral:rRNA from 1 species
UACAGAGGGUGCGAGCGUUAAUCGGAGUAACUGGGCGUAAAGGGGUGCGUAGGCGGUUUAGCGAGUGUGAUGUGAAAGCCCCGGGCUUAACCUGGGAAGUGCAUCGCAAACGGCUAGACUAGAGUAGAUGAGAGGGUGAUGGAAUUUCCGGUGUAGCGGUGAAAUGCGUAGAGAUCGGAAGGAACGUCGAUGGCGAAGGCAGUCACCUGGCAUCAUACUGACGCUGAGGCACGAAAGCGUGGGGAGCAAACAGG